rnacentral:ncRNA from 1 species
GCCUCUGAAAAGGUAACUGCAACAUAUAAAGGCUUUCUCGGACCAGAAGGAGAUUGGCCCUCAAGUGCAAAAACAUAAUAAAAUUUAAUUGUAGGACCCACUUGUCAAAUAGGGAUGAAAGUGAGCCUUAAAGAUUCGACAGUGCCAGAUGAAAGGGUCAUUGCUCAAU